UGAUGCGUUCAUACUACUUCGAAAGCACCCGAUCCCAUCAGAACUCGGAAGUUAAGCGGAGUUAGGCCGGUCUAGUACUGAGUUGAGUGAUCACUCGGGAAUCACCGGUGACGCAUUGC
rnacentral:rRNA from 11 species